AGAGUUUGAUCAUGGCUCAGAACGAACGCUGGCGGCAGGCCUAACACAUGCAAGUCGAACGCUCGUAGCAAUACGAGAGUGGCAGACGGGUGAGUAACACGUGGGAACCUUCCCAACGGUCGGGAAUAGCUCAGGGAAACUUGAGGUAAUACCGGAUACGCCCUUCGGGGGAAAGAUUUAUCGCCGUUGGAUGGGCCCGCGUCGGAUUAGCUAGUUGGUGAGGUAACGGCUCACCAAGGCGACGAUCCGUAGCUGGUCUGAGAGGAUGGACAGCCAGACUGGGACUGCGAGACGGCCCAGACUCCUACGGGAGGCAGCAGUUAGGGAUCUUGCGCAAUGGGCGAAAGCCUGACGCAGCGACGCCGCGUGGGGGAGGACGGUCUUCGGAUUGUAAACCCCUUUUCCUCAGGAAGAGAACGGACGGUACUGAGGGAAGAAGCCCCGGCUAACUACGUGCCAGCAGCCGCGGUAAUACGUAGGGGGCGAGCGUUGUCCGGAUUUACUGGGCGUAAAGAGCGCGUAGGCGGUCUUUCACAUCCGUGAUGAAAGGGUGGGGCUUAACCCCACGACUGUUACGGAGAUGGGGAGACUUGAGGGCAGGAGAGGACCGUGGAAUUCCGGGUGUAGUGGUGAAAUGCGUAGAGAUCCGGAGGAACACCAGUGGCGAAGGCGGCGGUCUGGGCUGCAUCUGACGCUGAGGCGCGAAAGCGUGGGGAGCGAACUGAAUUAGAUACCCUAGUAGUCC
rnacentral:rRNA from 1 species